AAUGUUAUGUCUGAUUAAAGAAGUAAAUUGUAAAUUUAUUAAAGAAAGUUAAUUUUCUAACAUUA
rnacentral:tRNA from 1 species